rnacentral:rRNA from 1 species
CCUACGGGAGGCUGCAGUGGGGAAUAUUGCGCAAUGGGCGAAAGCCUGACGCAGCGACGCCGCGUGAGGGAUGAAGGUCUUCGGAUCGUAAACCUCUGUCAGCAGGGAAGAACGGUCACUGUGCUAAUCAGCAGUGAAUUGACGGUACCUGCAAAGGAAGCACCGGCUAACUACGUGCCAGCAGCCUCGGUAAUACGGAGGGUGCGAGCGUUCAUCGGAAUUACGGGGCGUAAAGCCCUCGUAGGCGGUAUGUCAAGUCAAGGGUGAAAUCCCCGCGCUCACCGUGGGAACUGCCUUUGAAACUGGCAAACUGGAGUGUGUGAGAUGAUAGUGGAAUUCCAGGUGUAGGAGUGAAAUCCGUAGAUAUCUGGAGGAACAUCAGUGGCGAAGGCGACUAUCUGGCACAUAACUGACGCUGAGGAGCGAAAGCGUGGGUAGCAAACAGGAUUAGAUACCCUUGUAGUC